CCAGUUCUUUUAACAUGCAAUGAGUAUCGCCAGCAAGAAACUAUUUAAAGCGUUCAAGAGUGAUACCUCAAAUUACUUGCCCUGUAGAGUUUGCUAAUCCCUUACGUUUCUUAUUAGAAAUUAUCCAGGGAUUCAGAGUAGAAUGAAAUUAAGCCAGGGGAUCUGUCAUAGGGCCCAGAGCCAUAAACUGGAAAAAGGGCUAACUGGCUGUCAUAAAGAGUAAGGGCUGUGGCAUUCUGUACACUUCUCCUAGUUAGCUAGUUUUGUCCCAGAAUUUGGCUUAAAAUUGAGCUUUGAAGUGAGAAUUAAGUUGGUUAGACUAACUCUGGGGAUAGGUGUAGCUGCAGUGACACCAAACAGACAGGUUCGUUGGCCCAAAUGACAUCAUAAUGACAGUUUUAAAAGAUCUGAAGAGUCAUCAAUUGGAAGAAAUGUUGAACUUACUUAUUUCUGUAAGACAGAACUAAGAUGGAUGGAUAGAGGCUUCAUGAAGGCAAUUUGGGUUCCAUGUGAGGAAGAAAUAUUCAACCACAGCUUUUAAAAUAGAAAGGGUUGUCUUAUCAGUCCUUCCGGAAAAAAACUACAGCCUGCUGGGUCAUUAAGAAAAGGUGCUGGUAUGGCAGAUAAUUAGUACUCAUAUUGUCGUUUGUUCCAAGACCAAGGCAGAUACAGCAAGGAGUUUACAAAGAAACUGCCCUAUGGAUUGGGAGUGAGGAAAGGAAUAGGAGAGUGUUUUCACCUACGAAGAAAUAAAGGAAACAACCACUUCAAAUUUAUCCUAUUCUACCAUGAAGACUACUUGUGGGAAGAGAGGAAAAUACUUUUUGCCUCCUGCAAAACAAAGACCAUCUGAUGGAAGUGUGGGUAAGUAACAAAUUGAAGAACAUCAAGAUAAGAGGCAAGUACACCAGUUUCAGGAGGUGUGUGUAAAAGUCUCCAGCUAUCGGGGCGCCUGGGUGGCUCAGUCGGUUAAGCGUCUGACUUCGGCUCAGGUCAUGAUUUCGCGGUCCGUGAGUUCGAGCCCCGUGUCGGGCUCUGUGCUGACAGCUCAGAGCCUGGAGCCUG